rfam:Anas platyrhynchos breed Pekin duck contig102501, whole genome shotgun sequence.
AUAUCACUUCGGGAGCAUGUGUACUAAAAUUGGAAUGAUACAGAGAAGAUUAGCACGGCCCCUGUGCAAGGGUGACACACAAAUUUGUUAAGCAUUCCAUAUUUUU